rnacentral:lncRNA from 1 species
UUUUUUUUUUUUUUUUUUUUUUUUAGGGCUGCACCUGUGGCAUAUGGAAGUUCCCGGACUAGGGGCUGAAUCAGAGGGGUAGCUGCCAGCCUACACCGCAGCCACAGCAACACGGGAUCUGAGCCAUGUCUGAGACCUACACCACAGCUCAUGGCAUUGCAGGAUCCUUAACCCACUGAGUGAGGCCAGGGAUGGAACCUGCAUCCUCAUGGAUGUUAGUCAGAUUCAUUUUCCUUGAGCCACGAUGGGAACUCCCAGCUUUGUUAUUUCAGUAAAGAUUUCUAGAUGCCAGGCCUGGAGUCAGAAGAGAAUGUAGAUUAGAAUGCAGAUUUAGGAGGUCACAUCUAUAGCAUUAUCGUUGAAGAGGUGAGGAAUUGUUGCGAUGGCAGAGGGAAAAUAUGAGAUUGCUGACUCUAGGACAGUGCAUUAAAUAGCAUUUAUAUUUAUGAGACUGGAGAAAAGGGACCACAGAAUGAGUCAGUAGAGAAAAAAAAAGGAAGGAAAGAAAAUUAGGAUUGGGUUCCUUGAGAAACUAGGGAAGGAGAAAAACCAAUCAAUCAGAUGCUUUAGAAAUUGGUUUUUAAUAUGUUUUGCAAAAUGAUUUGAUGGAAAACCAUACAAUUCAUGAGUUUUAUAUUCAGAAAGUUUUUUUGUUUUUUUUUUUUAAGCUGGAUUCAAAGAAACUCUGAUUAUCUCUGAGCUGGGAAAAUGGCCACUGAGCUUAGGUAAUGAGUUUCUCAGCCUUUUGAUCUGGAGUUAUUUACAAUUUAGCAAGCUAGGAAGGGAUUCAAAUAAACCUGGACUCAUGGCUGACUGAGACUGUGUAGCCAACCUUGGAAAAAAACACACACACAUGAAGUGAAGAACUAAAUCUUUUCUCAAAGUGAAAAAAAUUGUGCCAUAUUAUUAGGAGAGUUUUUUUUUAAAUAGCAUUUUGAUGAGUAAUUAUAAAUAGUAAUCACAAUUAAAACCAUAGUCUCCAAGGUAGAAAUUCCAUCUAAUGAAAAAAGACCUGCUGACUCAGGUCUUAUCACCACAGUGCAUUCUAGAGGGUUGCCAGCAGCCUGCAUUUUGCCUCAAGCUGUGUUGUUAUCUCAGAGCAGAUAUUAAUUUAAGAUGUUAAUGCUUAUGUCAUCAGAUGUUCCUCUUUACAGACAGCCACCCUGUUAAUUUGCAGAGUCCACGAUUGUAAUCAUGAUUUUUAUUGGUUCAUUUUAUAACCACAUAGCUUCUUUACCUUCCUUAUUUCAUGGUACAUUUAUGGGAUGGGUUGACCCAUAGUUCUCCCUAACCUUUAGAAAAUCUCUUUUGAAAACAGCUGAAGAUAAACUGUGAUAAACAUAUGGAACAGAUUUAAACACGUUUCCCAUAUCAGAAGACUUUCAGAUUAAAAAUUUAUUCAUGUCUUACCCACUUAUCUUAUUCACCCCAAAACAUGAUGAAGCCCCAUGCGCCUGACAUUAUGCUAGUCAGACAUGUGCUGAUUGCUGGAUGUGUAUGAAGAUGAAGAAAGCAGUUUCAGUCCUUUGACGUAUUCAUAGGGUAGCAGUUUACAAAGUUAUCUACUCUAGCAAAUUUUUUUUCAAAAUUCCAUUUCAAGGCUGUUGCUCAGAACCGAGCAUGUAGUUUGUCAUAUAAAUAGGACAUAGAAGGUGUUGAUGCAACAAAUCAACUGCAAUCCUACAUAACCCAUGACAUGUGCUGUUACUGAAUCUAAUCCUUAUGUAGCAUAAUAUGUGUUUAAAGAAAAUGCACUCAGAGAUGCCACUCAGAAUGCCAAGAUCACUUCUGUGCAGUGGCAGAAAACUUGCCCUUAUUGCACUCUCCUUACCUUUUGAAAGCAUGAGAUCUAGAAGAUCAGCUCCAGGAGGCUAGUGUAUGACCCACUGGGCAAGUUGGGGCUGAGUUGGGGCUCUUGACAGGAGCAUCACACUGGGGGUGGAGGGGGGAGGUGUCCACUUCCUAUAAGGUCAGUUUUCUUUUCAAAGACCAGGGGUUAGUCUCUUUAUCUCUCUUUCCAUUGUCGCCAAAAAGAGUCAAAUAUUGGCACGCCAAUUCAGCACGUGCCAAUUUCAUACGGCAUUUGAUCUGUCCUUUAAGAUUGACCCUGCUAAAUGUAGACAGAGCCGACUCAGUCUUCUCAGAUUCCAGGAGCUCGAGCUGCUUAUUAAAAACCUCUCAGUUGGAAAUAAGACGGUAGACCUGUCAGGCUUUUGCUGAACCAUUAAGCCAUAGAUACCACUUUUACUGAAUAGGGUAUAACUUCAGUUGUUGAGAAGGAGAUUAUUUGCAAGGGUACAUAUCACCAUAGUAACUGGAUUUUCAAGCAGAGCUGUUGAAAUGGAACUUAAAAGUCACGCAGAAACAGGUCUACCUUGCACAGGCUUCAAAGGAUCAUGUAGGAGAGAGGCAGAGAUUCAUUCACAGAUUCCAUGCCGUUUGAUCCGUGAUUGCUCAAAGGCACCGGGAAAGAGAUGGACAAUAUGCAUUUUCAUAUCAGUGUGUUGCAAAAUUAAGACAAAACAACAUGUAUUCCACCACUGAUUUGCUGUAAGCAAACUAUCCAAUAAAUUGCCUCUUCUCUCAUAGCUUUAUGGCUUGAAUUAACGAAACAUUUAUGAAUACUCACAACUAACAUGAGACUUGAUUCAACAAUUUUAAUUAGCAUUCUAGAACUUACUUUAAAACAGCAAAUGUUGUUUGUGCCUUCUCAUGAACUGCGGAGCCUUCCUAGAGGAGAGAGUAUGCUUGAUGCUAUUGCAAAGUUACCAAACGUGUAAUUGGAACUUAGCAGGAAAGUUAAUAUCAAAUUUUAGGACAAAAGAAAAUGGAGAUUGUAAAGUCGUUAAAUCUUAAAUAUGGGAGGGGCUCUGAGAGAGAUCAUUUGCAUCAUUUCUAAUUUUCAAGGGAGGAGGCAAAGCUCCAUCAUGAUUAAGCCCCUUGAUGGAGGUCACACUCCUGUUUGCAUAUGGAACUGAGGCUAGAAGCCAAAUACUCUGCCUUUUGAAUCAGGAGAUGAAGAGAAACCUGAAAAAUUAAAGAUUGAGAAAUUCUAUAUGAGUUGCUCACAAUUUAAAGAAGAAAACAAAAUGAAUACACACAGACAACUAGAACAUGAUUAUAAAUUGGCAAGGGCUUAGAAUUAAGGGUGAGGUUGUUCCUGCUGAAUUUUCUUUAAAAUUCCUAAUUUUAAGUCCUAUGGCUUCUAAAAGUAUGGGUUGCAACUUAUGAGAUUAUGUGUGUUUAAAGCUAAACAAUAUAGAAAAGCAUAAGGACAUUACAGUGGACACCCAUGGACCAGUGAACAACUGAAAAGUGCUCACUUUUUUUCAUAUUUACAAGUCAUUUUUUUCCCUCCUUUCCUUUCUCUUGUUCUCUUUUUCUUUUGUUCUUUCUUUCUGAAUAAGAAAAUUACAUUACACAUUAAGUUGAUGCUCUUGUUUCUCACUCCCCAUUUAAUUUCCCUCCCAGACCAGCUCCCAGGCAAUCACUAUCAUGAAUGCAUUUUGUAGUAUUUAGUGAGCCCCAUUAUGUGUCAGGUGGAGUUCUAGAUGCUUGACAUACAUCAAUUUAAAAAAAAGAAAGAAAAACAUUUUUGACCAAGAACAUUUUAUAUUUUAGAGGAAGAAUUUGAUACGUAUUCAUUUUGAAUUUUUAUGCCUAUAAGUAUACAUGCAUUUGAAUAAUGUGUUAUUUCUAUAUCUGUGUUCUUUUAAAUGCAUGCAAUUUAUGUCAACUCUACAUACUAACCUGAAACUGCAGCUUCUUUUUUCUGUUCCACAUUGUUUUUGAGAUCUAGUCAUGUUAAUAGAUAUAGAUCAAGUUUAUUUUUAACUGCUUUAAAGUACUGAUAUUUUAUUUAUGCACUCUAUUGAGAGUCAUUUGGAAUGUAUCAGAUUUUCACCAUUGGAAUAAGGCUUCAAUGACAUCCUUGUAAGGGUCUCCUAUGCACAUGUGUUAAGUCUCUUCAAGGUAUUUACCUAGAUGUGGGUUUGCUAGGUCUUAGGGUAACUCAUUUUCAGUUUCUAAAUGCUGUUGAAUUACUUAACGCUAGUGAUCAUACUGUUUGAUACUCCUAUCAGCAGUGAUUUUUACUAGCAAGUAUUUAGAUCAUAGUUACAUAUUUGGCAUUGACAUAUGUCAGAAUUCAUGUUUUUGUUUUUUGCAAGAAGGCGAUUAUUUGUGUGAAGAACAUUCUGAGAAAUGUAAAUCUAGAACUUUUACUGAUUUAUUAAGGAAUGACCUAAGAUCAACAUUCUAGAAAGUGACUAAGAAAGCCAUUUUUAUAUAAUGGGACAGAAAUCCUAACUCCCAGUCUUAGUAAAUAUGAAAAGCUGGGUUCAGUGCUUCCCUAUAUGUGUUAAUUUAAGUGAAAUGAAAUAAAACAAUCUUUUGAAGAGAUAAAAUCAGGAGUUCCAGGUGGCUUAGCAGGUUGAGGAUCUGGUGUUGUCAUGAUGUGGCUAUGGUUACUGCUGUGGUACAGCUUUAAUCCCUCAUCCCUGUUCUGGGGAAAAAAAGAAGAAAUACUAGAAAUAAUAAAUUACCAGGUAAGGGUACAAGUUUAAAGACAUUAACUGAAAAUUGCAACAAAAUUUUCUAGCAAUUAGAUUCCAAAUAAUAUUCCCAAACUGUGUUAUAAGACUGAUGUCUAUAGUUAAAACCGUGCUAGCC